rnacentral:rRNA from 1 species
CCUACGGGUGGCAGCAGUGGGGAAUAUUGCACAAUGGGGGAAACCCUGAUGCAGCGACGCCGCGGGAGUGAAGAAGUAUCUCGGUACGUAAAGCUCUAUCAGCAGGGAAGAAAAUGACGGUACCUGACUAAGAAGCCCCGGCUAACUACGUGCCAGCAGCCGCGGUAAUACGUAGGGGGCAAGCGUUAUCCGGAUUUACUGGGUGUAAAGGGAGCGUAGACGGCAGAACAAGUCUGGAGUGAAAUCCCGGUGGUUAACCCCGGAACUGCUUUGGAAAAUGGGCGGCUGGAGUGCAGGAGGGGUAAGCGGAAUUCCUAGUGUAGCGGUGAUAUGCGUAGAUAUUAGGAGGAACACCGGUGGCGAAGGCGGCUUAGUGGACUGUAACGGACGUUGAGGCUCGAAAGCGGGGGGAGCAAACAGGAUUAGAUACCCGAGUAGUC